rnacentral:rRNA from 1 species
UACGUAGGGGGCGAGCGUUAUCCGGAAUUAUUGGGCGUAAAGCGUGCGUAGGCGGCAUGGCAAGUUUAAGAUAAAAGCCCGGGGCUCAACUCCGGAUCGUCUUAAAAACUGCCAAGCUUGAGUGUGGUAGAGGCAAACGGAAUUUCUAGUGUAGCGGUGAAAUGCGUAGAUAUUAGAAGGAACACCAGUGGCGAAGGCGGUUUGCUAGGCCAUAACUGACGCUGAGGCACGAAAGCGUGGGUAGCAAAUAGG